AGCGUAGACGGCACGGCAAGCCAGAUGUGAAAGCCCGGGGCUCAACCCCGGGACUGCAUUUGGAACUGCUGAGCUAGAGUGUCGGAGAGGCAAGUGGAAUUCCUAGUGUAGCGGUGAAAUGCGUAGAUAUUAGGAGGAACACCAGUGGCGAAGGCGGCUUGCUGGACGAUGACUGACGUUGAGGCUCGAAAGGCGUGGGAGCAAACA
rnacentral:rRNA from 1 species